rnacentral:rRNA from 1 species
CAGUUCGGAUUGUAGUCUGCAACUCGACUACAUGAAGCUGGAAUCGCUAGUAAUCGCGAAUCAGAAUGUCGCGGUGAAUACGUUCCCGGGUCUUGUACACACCGCCCGUCACACCAUGGGAGUCAGUAACGCCCGAAGCCGGUGACCCAACCAAUUCAGGAGGGAGCCGUCGAAGGUGGGACCGAUAACUGGGGUGAAGUCGUAACAAGGUAAC